GAAAUCCGUUAACUGCUUUAGCACAAAUCGAUUGUGAAAGCCAAAAUUUGCAACUCGUUACCCUCGACACAAUGAGCAAUCAUUCAAACAAAUACAAUAAAUACAAAUAUAUGUAUAGUGUACAUUGUACAUAUUACACACAGACACACACACACCCACAUUCCGAAUUCGAAUUCGUGAAAUUUUCAUUUCCGUUGCGCUAGAGCACGGCAUAUCCGUGUGGUAUCCAAUAUAUAUUUGGGGGGAAAAAAGGUUCAACGCAACAUGCAAAAUUCAUGCAGAUUCCAUUCAAUGGAGAACGAAAGAGACAAAGCGAAAGAAUGACCACCCCAUGUGCUAAUCGAAACGUUUUUGGUGGCUGCAUUUAAGAGCCACUUUCCCCAUCGCGAUAGAUGUUGCUGCUGAUGAUUAUGAUGAUGAUGAUGAUGAUGAUGAUGAUGAUGAUGAUGAUGAUGGCAGCGGGAGGCGGCGUUGCAUCAAGGUCAAUGCAUAAAUACCGAAGUGCACACUGUGCAGUAAGUGGUGAGCGGUGAGCGGUGAGGGGUGCACUGCCAUUAGCAUUCAAGUACCCCACACACCAAACAUCCUGGAGCCUUUGCCCUUUGCCCUUUGCCAUUUAUCCUUUGCUGGCAGGCCAUUACACCAUCCAAUAUACUCGCUGACCUCCUAACAACACGACGCGUCUCCCUCUAACAACUCAUCAACACUUUUCCCCAAUUUUGCCUCACUAAAAAGUUAAGCGUUUUUCGCGAUUUGCGCAAAACUUUUGCACACUUGUUUCGCACUGCAACU